GGAAAACAAGAGAAUCGAUACAAGUAUAAACUCGAACAGAACCUAAUGGUUAAAAAGCUCUCCAACUGUCGGAACUUUUCUUCGGACUUUGGCUCUCUGAUGAGACUUUAAAUGGGCCAGAGGUACCAAAUGGAUCUGCAUCAUCAAAAGAGAAGGCGCCAUGGCCGAAAUCUCUGGAGCUGCCAAUGGAGUCAAACCUGGCGUGCCUCUGGCUACUCUGGC
rnacentral:misc_RNA from 1 species